CCAUUGUUACAUGUCGGGUUUUUUUUUUAUUAUUUGCAGUUUUUUAAAAAUGUUAUAUCUCUGUCUAAAGUUUUGAAAAUCCUUUGUUUGAUAAAACAGCAUCUUUGGUUGUUGUUUUGUUCUAAAUCUUUUUAUUUUACUUUCAAAUUAUUAUAUCUCUAGCCCAUUUCGUGAUGGAAACGAGCAGUUAUCCAAUUUUAUUAAACAGCAUAUCAGGGGAUACGAUAAAGAUAUAACUGAUGACAUAAUAAUAGCAUCAAUUGAACAAUAUUUCACAUCAAAGAAGACAAUGAGAAAGAAGGGGUCUCAUCGAUAAAACAUUAAAGCAGUCGCUGCUUCUACACAGCGCAAGUUGAAUAAAAGUAAAAGACGGACGAAGGUUCUUCAAGCAAUGAACCUGCCUGAAGAAAAGAAGGCAAAAGUUUUGAAAGUCCUUGGGGUACAGUAUAUGUCAUCAGAGGAAGAGAUAGAUGAUAACAAUGGGCGAUAUUUUACUGUCCAUUCGCUUCCGUGGAGAUGCAAAAAGUUGAAUU